GAGAAGAGACCUCCGCAAUAUAUUGGACAAUAAUUUUGGAGCGCCAGGGCACGCUGGAGCCCGACCCAAGAUGGCGGCGAGGAGGCGGAGAUGGGGCGGCACUAAUGAACGUGGGGGAGAGAGGCGUAGAGCCUGGAAGGAGCCAACGUGAAGGUGACACGUAGCGAGAGAGGAGCGAGCGAAGAAGUGGAGCUGAAGAGCUAUACGGAGGAGACUAGUCUUAUUUGAAAAAAUAAAGAAGUCUACACCUGCUAAAAAGGCAUGUCCUUCCUUGGUAGUCCCUGGAACCAGCAAGACGACAGCUGGAGACUGUCACAACUAUUAAAAUAAACAAAAACACAAACAAAAGUGAAAUAAAAAAGCUUAAAGGCUAAAUGUAAUUUAGAAAAAGUUGCAACGUUGACUAAUAAAACAAAGCUGUUUUUUGUUAUUUUAUUUCAAACUGUCAUUGCUCAUAACAUAAUAUUGAAUCAAAAUCAAUGUUAUUAUGAAUUACUGACCGAUCCAAAGUUCCCAUUACUUCACAUCAAAUAUUACACUAAGAAAAAUAUUUUUGGUGGAAGAUUUUGCAAACUUGGUAAAUAACCUAAAACUGUACCGAAAAUUAACCGAACCGUGACCUCUGAACCGAGGUACGUACUGAACCGAAAGUUUUGUCUACUGUUACACCCCUACUAUUGAUAAGUGAAUAUUGGUUUCUAAACUUUCCUCGGCAUACUUGCCAAAGGUCGGCAAGACAUUGCACCGUGCCCCCACAGGAGGGCCCCACCCCACUGUUUGAGAAAGACUGCUUUACACACAGGCACCUGUUGCAGCUCUGACAGUACAUAUGAAGCAGGAAAAUUGCCAUAUCAACAUCCUGCAUCAUUAUUCCUCCCCUUUUCUCUGUACAAACGGCAGCAACAAGCAUGCUUUUACGGCAUACUUGCCAACCCUCCCGAUUUUCCCGGGAGACUCCCGAAUUUCAGUGCCCCUCCCGAAAAUCUCCCGUGGCAACUAUUUCCGCGAAUUUCUCCCGAUUUCCACCCGGACAACAAUGUUGGCGGCGUGCCUAUAAGGCACUGCCUUUUUCGUCCUCUACAACCUGUCGUCACGUCCGCUUUUCCUCCAUAAAAACAGCGUGCCGGCCCAGUCCCAUGAUAUAUGUAGCUUGUAAACACACACAAGUGAAUGCAAGGCAUACUUGGUCAGCAGCCAUGCAGGUCACACUGAGGGUGUCCGUAUAAACAACUUGAACACUGUUACAAAUAUGCGCCACACUGUGUGAACCCACACCGGACAAGAACACAUUUCGGGAGAACAUCCGCACCGUAACACAACAGAACAAAUACCCAGAACCCCUUGCAUCACUAACUCUUCCGGGACACUACAAUAUACAAUAUCACUAUUCCUCCCCUUUUUUCUGUACAAACGGCAACAACAAGCAGGCUUUUACGGCAUACUUGCCAACCCUCCCGAUUUUCCCGUGAGACUUCCGAAUUUCAGUGCCCCUCCCUAAGAUCUCCCAAGACAAACAUUCUCCCAAAUUUCUCCCAAUUUCCACCCGGACAACAAUAUUGGGGGCGUGCCUUGAAGGCACUGCCUUUUGCGUCCUCUACAACCUGUCGUCACGUCUGCUUUUCCUCCAUACAAACAGCGUGCCGGCCCAGUCCCAUAAUAUAUGUAGCUUUACA